rnacentral:rRNA from 1 species
AACAGGAUUAGAUACCCUGGUAGUCCACGCUGUAAACGAUGUCGACUUGGAGGUUGUGCCCUUGAGGCGUGGCUUCCGGAGCUAACGCGUUAAGUCGACCGCCUGGGGAGUACGGCCGCAAGGUUAAAACUCAAAUGAAUUGACGGGGGCCCGCACAAGCGGUGGAGCAUGUGGUUUAAUUCGAUGCAACGCGAAGAACCUUACCUACUCUUGACAUCCAGAGAAUUUGCUAGAGAUAGCUUAGUGCCUUCGGGAACUCUGAGACAGGUGCUGCAUGGCUGUCGUCAGCUCGUGUUGUGAAAUGUUGGGUUAAGUCCCGCAACGAGCGCAACCCUUAUCCUUUGUUGCCAGCGAGUAAUGUCGGGAACUCAAAGGAGACUGCCGGUGAUAAGCCGGAGGAAGGUGGGGAUGACGUCAAGUCAUCAUGGCCCUUACGAGUAGGGCUACACACGUGCUACAAUGGCAUAUACAAAGAGAAGCGAACUCGCGAGAGCAAGCGGACCUCAUAAAGUAUGUCGUAGUCCGGAUUGGAGUCUGCAACUCGACUCCAUGAAGUCGGAAUCGCUAGUAAUCGUAGAUCAGAAUGCUACGGUGAAUACGUUCCCGGGCCUUGUACACACCGCCCGUCACACCAUGGGAGUGGGUUGCAAAAGAAGUAGGUAGCUUAACCUUCGGGAGGGCGCUUACCACUUUGUGAUUCAUGACUGGGGCGAAGUCGUAACAAGGUAACC